UCCUAUAGAAACAACACAGGUCCAGGCGUUGCUCAGUGACAUCAGGACGAUUCCUCUCUGACUGCAAGAGGCUGCUCUAACAGGUU